GACAACACUAGAGCAGACCCAAACUGAUCCAACCAUUUAGCAUAAACAGAGACCAUUCCUCUGUCCAAGCAAAAACCAUGGCCACUUGUUCACUCAUUUCCACACGCUUCCAUUCUCCUUCUUCUUCACUCUUUCGUUCUUCAACCAUCAAACCCACCACAACAAUUCACCUUUCCAAAACCCUUCAUCUUCACACUCCCAACCUUUUCCUCCUUCGCCUCCCAUCACCAAAACUCACAAUACCCCUUUUACCCAAACUCUCCAUUCCCAAACCUCUUCUCCUUCUCUGCACUUCCCUCGCCCUCUCCUUCACUCUCCUCGUUUCCAACGCCGACUCCGCCGCCGCCUUCGUCGUCACCUCGCCGCGGAAGCUCCAGUCCGACGAACUCGCCACCGUUCGCCUCUUCCAAGAGAACACUCCCUCUGUUGUCUACAUAACCAACCUUGCUGUCAAGCAGGAUGCAUUCACGCUGGACGUCUUGGAGGUUCCCCAGGGAUCCGGGUCUGGCUUUGUUUGGGAUAAGGAUGGUCAUAUUGUGACCAAUUAUCACGUUAUUCGUGGUGCCUCUGAUCUCAAGGUCACUCUAGCUGACCAGUCAACUUAUGAUGCCAAAGUUGUUGGUUUUGACCAAGACAAGGAUGUUGCUGUGCUGCGUGUCGAGGCACCAAGUGACAAGCUCAGGCCUAUACCUAUUGGGGUCUCUGCUGACUUGCUUGUUGGUCAGAAGGUUUAUGCCAUUGGGAACCCGUUUGGACUAGAUCACACACUCACAACAGGGGUCAUCAGUGGUCUUAGGCGAGAAAUUAGUUCUGCUGCAACCGGUCGUCCAAUUCAAGAUGUUAUUCAGACAGAUGCAGCAAUUAAUCCUGGUAACAGCGGAGGGCCUCUCUUAGAUAGUUCUGGAAACCUCAUUGGGAUAAAUACAGCCAUAUAUUCUCCAUCUGGCGCAUCCUCUGGUGUUGGAUUUUCUAUUCCAGUGGACACUGUAAAUGGUAUUGUUGACCAAUUGGUGAAGUUUGGGAAGGUUACAAGACCUAUUUUAGGGAUUAAGUUUGCUCCAGAUCAGUCUGUGGAGCAGUUGGGUGUAAGUGGAGUGCUUGUGUUAGAUGCUCCUGCCAAUGGUCCUGCUGGGAAAGCAGGCCUGCAAUCAACAAAGCGUGACUCGUAUGGUAGACUCAUUUUAGGUGACAUCAUAACGUCUGUGAAUGACAAGAAGGUUACUAAUGGAAGUGAUUUGUACAGAAUUCUUGACCAGUGUAAAGUAGGUGAAAAGAAAGUCCUGACUCGGUCCUCUUCCAUACAUCACUGAAUCUUGAGUCUUGUUCAGAACAAAUUCUAAUCAAAUGACCUUAUCGAAAGUUCAUGCUGAGUGGGAUACCCAAGGGAAAUCCAGCGUAUAAGACCUAUGUGAUUGUUGAGGUUUUGAGAGGUGAUCACAAGGAGAAGAUCCCUGUCAUUCUGGAGCCAAAACCUGAUGAAUCAUGAUCACAAGGAUUAUGUAUAUAUACAAUUCACAUGCGAUUACCAGAGAGUGAAUGAAGCUGUUUUAUGGGUAUUCUUUAGUUGUUGUAUCUUGCUUCAUAAACAGCUCCAAUUGUACAUAUAUAUAUAUAUACAUACUAUGGAACUGAAAGCUCAUCAUCCUUUAACUUUUUCACUCUUAAACAUAAUAUAAUUUGGCAGUUCUAUUUUGCCCCCAUACAAUUUCAUACAAGGGGUAU